GUGAAUCAUCGAAUCUUUGAACGCAAAUUGCACUCUCUUCGGAGAGUAUGCCUGUUUGAGGGUCAGCCUAAAAAAAAAUCGACUUAGUCGCUGUUUCGCGGUGACAUUCUGCGGGGAUCGGGUCAUCUUAGACCUUUGGGUUUUAAGCGGCUUCAAAUUUUCUUUACGUUCCUCCGAACGUUUCUAUGAUAUACUUCUUACACUUUUAAGGUAAUCGAUCUUUAUUAGACGUGGACGUUGCC
rnacentral:misc_RNA from 1 species